rnacentral:rRNA from 1 species
AUACGGAGGAUCCGAGCGUUAUCCGGAUUUAUUGGGUUUAAAGGGUGCGCAGGCGGCCAUUUAAGUCAGCGGUUAAAUCGUGGGGCUCAUCCCCAUUCUGCCGUUGAUACUGGGUGGCUUGAUUGCGGUCGAGGUUGGCGGAAUUCGUUGUGUAGCGGUGAAAUGCAUAGAUAUGACGAAGAACACCGAUUGCGUAGGCAGCUGACCAGACCGCAAAUGACGCUCAUGCACGAAAGUGCGGGGAUCGAACAGGAUUAGAUACCCUGGUAGUCCGCACAGUAAACGAUGAAUACUUGUUUUCGGCGAUAUAAUGUCGGAGGCAAAGCGAAAGCGAUAAGUAUUCCACCUGGGGAGUACGCCGGCAACGGUGAAACUCAAAGGAAUUGACGGGG